AGCGGAUGACCUGUGGCUGGGGGUGAAAGGCCAAUCAAACCGGGAGAUAGCUGGUUCUCCCCGAAAGCUAUUUAGGUAGCGCCUCGUGAAUUCAUCUCCGGGGGUAGAGCACUGUUUCGGCUAGGGGGCCAUCCCGGCUUACCAACCCGAUGCAAACUGCGAAUACCGGAGAAUGUUAUCACGGGAGACACACGGCGGGUGCUAACGUCCGUCGUGAAGAGGGAAACAACCCAGACCGCCAGCUAAGGUCCCAAAGUCAUGGUUAAGUGGGAAACGAUGUGGGAAGGCCCAGAC
rnacentral:rRNA from 1 species